rnacentral:lncRNA from 1 species
GUGGAUUUGUGUUGAAAUAUUGAUGCAACAAAGUGCUUUCCACUCGUGUUUGAAUUGUAUUCAUCCAUUCACGUUGAUGAUCGUGUUAAUGGAUGACCGCACACUUCUAAGUUCAUCGGGCACACAGUUUACAACCUUGCUGCAUAUUAACACAUUGCAGCACAUUAACAAAUCGACUCAUAAUCGCUUAGCUAUCAUAACCUUUUGUUUCAUUUAUAGCUGUAAUUACAGAACAUUUCAACCAAUUGUUGCAAUAAAAAACUGAUGCAUGAACAGAACAAAGCACGGGCGGUCUGUUUAAAACGGCAACACUGGCAGUGAGCUUGGAACGCAGACCGUGAUAGAAUUGAACAUGACAAAGAUUUCUCCAGAAACAAGCGACAACAUCAGGUCUUUGUGGAGGGCAGGGCAUUCUCUUGCUGACAUCAGGGCUUUCCUGUUGCAGUCGGGUGUGCACGUCUCCAAGACCACUAUAAGACGACACUAUAGACGUCAAAGACCUGUAGGCCUUCCUAAAAAAACAACGGCAAGGAAAAUUAACAGUACUGCACUUAAAAUGAUUGACGAAAUACUACACGAGGACGAUGAGCGAUCUGCUAAAAAGAUUCAGAGCGAGCUUCUGUCCAGAAUACAGUUAAAAGCAUCAGUCUGCACUAUCAGAAAAACAUUAAAACAACUCGGGUGGACCUAUGGAAAAGACAGGACAGACCCCAUGAUCCGUGACCACAACAAGGUUCUCCGUCUUACUCAAGUUCAGCAGUGGAUGUCUGACCAGGAGACCUUUGACAACGUGAUAUUUUCAGAUGAAACGACCGUGGCUUUGGAGCGUUUUGCACUGAUGUGCUAUCGGAAAAAGGGUCGCCAUGUUGUGAAACCGAAAGCAAAGCAUCCAGUAAAGCUUCAUGUCUGGGGAGCCAUAUCCCGUCAGGGACCUGGACCGCUAGUUGUGUUUGAAGGUAAAAUCUCUUCAAUUUGACUGAAUCCUUUCUUUGCAGUUUCUUUAUGUAUAACAUUUUUUUUUCAGGAAUUAUGGACAGAUGUUUUUACGAAGACAGCAUAAUAAAAUCAAAUCUGUCUCCAUACGUAAAACAGCACUUUAAAGGACCACAUCGCUUCUUCCAAGGUAGACACAGUAUGUAGGCCUACUGUACUGUGUGUGUGUGUGCGUGUGUGUGUGUGAUAUUUUAUGAUUUACAUUUGUUUCCGAAUCUUAAACUUUCUAAUGUGUUUUUUUUUUUUCAGACAACGACCCAAAACAUACAGCAGCACGACAUUGUAUUGCUGCGGAGGGGAUCAACUGGGUGAAAACCCCAGC